rnacentral:rRNA from 1 species
GAUGAACGCUGGCGGCGUGCCUAAUACAUGCAAGUCGAGCGAACAGACGAGGAGCUUGCUCCUCUGACGUUAGCGGCGGACGGGUGAGUAACACGUGGAUAACCUACCUAUAAGACUGGGAUAACUUCGGGAAACCGGAGCUAAUACCGGAUAAUAUAUUGAACCGCAUGGUUCAAUAGUGAAAGACGGUUUUGCUGUCACUUAUAGAUGGAUCCGCGCCGCAUUAGCUGGUUGGUAAGGUAACGGCUUACCAAGGCGACGAUGCGUAGCCGACCUGAGAGGGUGAUCGGCCACACUGUAACAGAGGCACGGUCCAGACUCCUACGGGAAGCAGCAGUAGGGACUCUUCCGCAAUGGGCGAAAGCCUGACGGAGCAACACCGCGUGAGUGAUGAAGGUCUUAGGAUCGUAAAACUCUGUUAUUAGUGAAGAACAAAUGUGUAAGUAACUAUGCACGUAUUGACGGUACCUGAUCAGAAAGCCACGGCUAACUACGUG